CCAAGAAGGACAAUCCCAGAGAACUGGGCUUGUUUUCCUUCAGGAAUCUUAUCAUCCUAUCCUCCUGUGCUUGACCAGGCCCCUUCGCUAUGCUCAGAGGUCAGCAGGCAGAAGCAAAAGGCUGGGCAGCACUGCUUGCCCACCAGAGCACAAAGAAGACUCCGAGGUGCAGACAGACACGGGCUGCCCUGGAGAACUGCUCCUGGAACAGAGCCCCUCCUCCUCUUCCACAGACAGAAAACCUUGCAGCAACUCUGAGUGUUUUUCAAAUACCACAACAAGCAGUUCUCAAGAGACAGAAAAACUCAAGGUACAGGAAUCGUGCUGAGAAAUCUGUGACAAAAGAAAGACAUGUUCUCCAUUGCUACCUUCAGCCACGCUGAGGAGGAUGGUGGAAAAGACUCUUCCAUGGGCCACAGAAGACAAUGGACAAAAGAAUCUUUCUCUAAUUGUAAAA